rnacentral:rRNA from 1 species
GUGGAUUAGAUACCCUAGUAGUCCACGCCGUAAACGAUGUCUACUAGCCGUUGGGUUCCUUGAGGACUUAGUGGCGCAGCUAACGCAAUAAGUAGACCGCCUGGGGAGUACGGUCGCAAGAUUAAAACUCAAAUGAAUUGACGGGGGCCCGCACAAGCGGUGGAGCAUGUGGUUUAAUUCGACGCAACGCGAAGAACCUUACCAGGUCUUGACAUCCAGAGAACUUUCCAGAGAUGGAUUGGUGCCUUCGGGAGCUCUGAGACAGGUGCUGCACGGCUGUCGCCAGCU